AAACUCUUGUAAUCCUCUUAUUCGCGGAGCAGAACGAUUGGUUUUCUUCCUCUCCCGUUCGUCAAACGGAUGAUAGGCUCUGCCUACGAGAGUUUCUCCAACACACUCACAGCAGAACAGAAGCAACAUUAUUUGGCGUCACGUUAUUUGGCGUUCACGAACCGAAACAAUCUGUGAUCUGCAGCGACAUCUGACACCACCAGCUGUGUCCAGACACCGGCCGGGAGGACUCGGGCAGCUCAAACUGGGCCAGCUGAUGCAGCAGUCGUCGGAUGCGGUGACUCUCAAAUUGGGCUCGGCCUGGAUCUCCGAUAAGGACUUUGGUGCCAUGUGCUCUGAUACAGCUGUCCAACCAGUUGUGAAGCUGCUAUGAAGAGGAUAUGACUUAUUUUCCAGGAAGAGAUGGAGAACGGCUUCCUGCGUGCAGCUGCAAGGUGGCAAGUUGGUGGAACUUUGUCGAACUGCGAAUGUGUGGUUUUAUUUCCUCUUUGUCUGAACUCCUUUCCUGUGUAAAAGGAACAUCUUAUGUAAUCACAUGUAUGAAAAUGCUCUGUGAGACUUCCUCAAGUGAGCACUUGCAGAUUGCCAUGCUGAAUGUAGCUGCAAGACAUUA